rnacentral:rRNA from 1 species
GAUGAACGCUAGCGACAGGCUUAACACAUGCAAGUCGAGGGGCAGCGGGGGAGUAGCAAUACUCCCGCCGGCGACCGGCGCACGGGUGAGUAACACGUAUGAAACCUGCCCGUAGCAGGGGGAUAAGCGGAAGAAAUUCCGUCUAAUACCGCGUAACAACCCAUGGAGGCAUCUCCGUGGGUUUAAAGGAAGCGAUUCCGGCUACGGAUGGUCAUGCGUCGCAUUAGCUAGUUGGCGGUGUAACGGACCACCAAGACGACGAUGCGUAGGGGUUCUGAGAGGAAGGUCCCCCACACUGGUACUGAGACACGGACCAG